rnacentral:rRNA from 1 species
GACGAACGCUGGCGGCGUGCUUAACACAUGCAAGUCGAACGGAAAGGCCCUGCGUUUGUUGGGUGCUCGAGUGGCGAACAGGUGAGUAACACGUGAGUAACCUGCCCUUGACUUUGGGAUAACUUCAGGAAACUGGGGCUUAUACCGGAUAGGAGCUCCUGCUGCAUGGUGGGGGUUGGAAAGUUUCGGCGGUUGGGGAUGGACUCGCGGCUUAUCAGCUUGUUGGUGUGGUAGUGGCUUACCAAGGCUUUGACGGGUAGCCGGCCUGAGAGGGUGACCGGCCACAUUGGGACUGAGAUACGGCCCAGACUCCUACGGGAGGCAGCAGUGGGGAAUAUUGCACAAUGGGCGGAAGCCUGAUGCAGCAACGCCGCGUGCGGGAUGACGGCCUUCGGGUUGUAAACCGCUUUCGCCUGUGACGAAGCGUGAGUGACGGUAAUGGGUAAAGAAGCACCGGCUAACUACGUG